rnacentral:lncRNA from 1 species
ACUUUGGGAAACUUACAAAGGAAUUCUAAAGAGUGUUGUAUUACAUCUGGCCAUCCUGUGAAGCUGCUGGUCAGCAGAUGACAUUAAGAUAACCUUCCUAAAACAUGAGAGCAUAAAAAAAGAUGAUGAUCAGGAAAUGUAAUCAGUCUCUACAUCUCUACAAUCCACUGGGUUUGUGAAGCAGAGAGAGAGACAGAGAGAGACAGAGACAGAGAGAGACUAACCCAGGACAGCAAUUGUUUAUAUUGAGAAAGGAAGCAGGGAGACAUACUAUACCUUCACUAUCAUCAGAUCUUUCAUGCAUUUUGCCAUAUGUCAGCCUCACAACAAAGAGAGAGACACUGAUUUUACUAGAUUUUCCAAUACAGAGAUAAGGCAAAGAAUAUUCUUUCCAGUCUCUCAAGAGGAAACAGGCUCAGAGUUAGGAGAAUUGCUGCAAAUCACACAAAUGAUGAUGUUCAUUCUUGCAUUGAUGAGGCUUUGCCACCAAGUAAAGGAUCCUUCCCUGAAACUCAGGGUUCUGGGGGAUGAUGAAGAAACAAAGAUAGUAGUCCUUUUCCAUCCAUUUAAUUGAAUGCUGAGGAGGACAGAGAAGGAAAGAAAGGGUGGAGUGACACAGAAAGGC